UACGUAGGUGGCGAGCGUUGUCCGGAAUUACUGGGCGUAAAGGAUGCGUAGGUGGAUAAUUAAGUCAGAUGUGAAAAUCCCGGGCUCAACUUGGGAACUGCAUUUGAAACUGGAUAUCUAGAGUGCAGGAGAGGAAAGCGGAAUUCCUAGUGUAGCGGUGAAAUGCGUAGAUAUUAGGAAGAACACCAGUGGCGAAGGCGGCUUUCUGGACUGUAACUGACACUGAGGCAUGAAAGCGUGGGGAGCAAACAGG
rnacentral:rRNA from 1 species